AUCCAGACUCCUACGGGAGGCAGCAGUGGGGAAUAUUGCACAAUGGGGGAAACCCUGAUGCAGCGACGCCGCGUGAGUGAAGAAGUAAUUCGUUAUGUAAAGCUCUAUCAGCAGGGAAGAGAAUGACGGUACCUGAGUAAGAAGCCCCGGCUAACUACGUGCCAGCAGCCGCGGUAAUACGUAGGUGGCAAGCGUUGUCCGGAAUUACUGGGUGUAAAGGGAGCGUAGGCGGGAAAGCAAGUUGAAUGUUUAAGGUACGGGCUCAACCUGUACAAGCGUUCAAAACUGUUUUUCUUGAGUGGAGUAGAGGUAAGCGGAAUUCCUAGUGUAGCGGUGAAAUGCGUAGAUAUUAGGAGGAACACCAGUGGCGAAGGCGGCCUGCUGGACGACAACUGACGGUGAGGCGCGAAAGCGUGGGGAGCAAACAGGAUUAGAUACCCUAGUA
rnacentral:rRNA from 1 species